UGGGGAAUUUUGGACAAUGGGCGAAAGCCUGAUCCAGCAAUGCCGCGUGUGUGAAGAAGGCCUUCGGGUUGUAAAGCACUUUUGUCCGGAAAGAAAUCCUUGGCUCUAAUACAGUCGGGGGAUGACGGUACCGGAAGAAUAAGCACCGGCUAACUACGUGCCAGCAGCCGCGGUAAUACGUAGGGUGCAAGCGUUAAUCGGAAUUACUGGGCGUAAAGCGUGCGCAGGCGGUUUGCUAAGACCGAUGUGAAAUCCCCGGGCUCAACCUGGGAACUGCAUUGGUGACUGGCAGGCUAGAGUAUGGCAGAGGGGGGUAGAAUUCCACGUGUAGCAGUGAAAUGCGUAGAGAUGUGGAGGAAUACCGAUGGCGAAGGCAGCCCCCUGGGCCAAUACUGACGCUCAUGCACGAAAGCGUGGGGAGCAAACAGGAUUAGAUACCCUGGUAGUCCACGCCCUAAACGAUGUCAACUAGUUGUUGGGGAUUCAUUUCCUUAGUAACGUAGCUAACGUGUGAAGUUGACCGCCUGGGGAGUACGGUCGCAAGAUUAAAACUCAAA
rnacentral:rRNA from 1 species